AAAACGUCACAACGGACAACAUGACGGUCAGACGGACGCUACGCUCGACGGCCGCCACACAGGAAGUAGACAGAAUAGUUCUUUUGGAACCGUCUUCUGACUUCAUUUGGCGGGAAGAGGAUUUUUUACGGAAAAUUAAUUGGCGUCUGACAGCCACCGCCACGAAGGAAUAGAGAACGAUGAAGCUGACAAAUGUGAUUAGCGUGCCCACUCCAUGGAUCCCGUACAAAACUAUGGGGAAUACAGACUGGACGUACCCGUCCUCAAUUUGACACGUGGGGACCGAGAACUCCUCACCGUGCGACCUGAUAUUCACAGUGUGCUUCCCGUAAACAACCAGAGCCGGCCAUGUUAUGGUCAAAGCCACCACUAUCAACCAGAGGACACAACGCCGAGCCGUGGAUGACGUCAUCACCGGACGAUGGGGGCAGCAGAUUCGUUGGUACCGGUCAAUGGCGACUGCAAUUAACACCAACGUAGAGGAAGAGUUACACAGAUAGGUCGUAAAUCGAGAAAGUUUACAUACAAAUCCCAGUUGGAAAAAAGAAUUAUCCACCAUUAUGACAAUUUCUGUGGGCAUUGUGAUGACGCAGUUGAUAAGGUCAAACAUGGCGAGAGACAAAAUGAAUAUCCGAGUAGAUAGGUUUUUCCAUCUCCAGUAAUACACAAUCCAAACCAGACUAUUCCCAAAGAACCCAAAGAUCAUCAAAAUAACUGUGUACACAAUGGCGGGGGUAUAUAUCCGAAGUUUGUGCUGAAAAAUUCCCCCAUCCGGAAAACUGGUCCCCGUGAAGUUAAAUUCCGUGUAAUUUGGGUCCAUAUCUCUUUUUACUUUGCACAAGAACCGUCAGGGCGUCUGUAACAUACAUUAAAUAAAUGAAGAUAUCUUUCCAGGUUUGUUAUUGCUUCCAAUUUCAAAUCGCGAUAUCACGCAAAAUUCCAACUCUUAUCCGUUCAUAUGAAAUUUUAAUCAUCAUGCUGGUAACUUUUGCUUAUUAUUGAGCGAGACACUGAUAUUGCUCUCUUUAGCAGUCGUGAAUGAACAUCGUACCGUGUUAUAGGGUCGAUCACUGCUAAUAUCCGUCUAUCACCAGAGAGCAGCACCUCGCUACUGAACUGUACAGCAUCCCUCCGCGGGUUUAUAUAGCGCCUCUGCUAUACCUCACGCUGCUAGUGUGACCGUACAAAAAUACUUUCAAAACUUAUGUCACUCAUGGAAAACCUGUUCGGUCAUCAUACAUGAUUAAGCAAAUACUAUCGAGAAAUAACGUAAUCUGGAAUUGCAUGAAUUGAUUUAGAUUGAUAACAAGUUCACGCUCUUUGUUGUAAUUCGGCCUCUGGAGUAGGAUAUUAAAAUUGAUUCUUUAUAAAUACUUAUGGCAAUUGUUGUAUCAUUUUACACGCAUUGUGUUUUAUUUCAAAUUAACGAUGUCCUUGAGAAAAAUCAAUUUUACUGCCAAAAUGUUUUUUUCAUUACCAAAUUAUUAUCAUUUUCUGAAUAGAGAGGAUGCCCACAUGUAAUCUGAAUAAGCUAUUUAAGCUUUAGCAGCAGCAUUUGUCGACGAACAAUGCAUGCAGUAUUUAAACCUCUUAUGUGCUAAGCUACCAACAGCAGUCUGGAUCGGUGUUCCCGGAGUGAACUCACGGCUUUCCCAGAUCCCCUUGCAGGCACAGGUCCAGUUUUAUAACUGGAUGGAGAGGAUCAGAGCAAAGAUUUGUUUGCGGGUUUGGAGGUCAACUUCUGUUCAGUUUCUUUACUAUAUAGAAUAAGAUCAAUUUCCUACCGGUUUCUUCACUAUGUAGAAUAAAUAAAUAUGAAUUUUCCUGACCCCCCCCCCCCUACCCUGUUCAUACUACCAAUAGCACGAAGUUAUUCGCAAUUUUUUUUUCUCCAACGGUCUUUGUGAAUAAGAAAAACACUUCAGACUGGAGUUAUGGAGAGACUGUAGAUGACUGUCCCCCUCCAGUCAGAGACUCGACUCUUUGAAGUGUGAUCAACCCUCUUGAUACAAAGCCGGCGAAGAGCAGUGAUGUCAUUACAACAGCAGACGACUGUUGCGUCACACCACGCUCUAUCAUUGGCAACAUCGUUACGAGGUGACUACAAGUACAACGGAAAUACUCGGUACAAUUCCAAACAGAGAAUAUGUUACAUGUACAUCUGUUAAAACUGUAUGUUAGACUGAAUAAACUAAUAAAAAAAAUGAAGUACUC
rnacentral:sRNA from 1 species